rnacentral:rRNA from 1 species
AGCGAACGCUGGCGGCAGGCCUAACACAUGCAAGUCGAACGAAGUCUUCGGACUUAGUGGCGGACGGGUGAGUAACACGUGGGAACGUGCCUUUAGGUUCGGAAUAACUCAGGGAAACUUGUGCUAAUACCGAAUGUGCCCUUCGGGGGAAAGAUUUAUCGCCUUUAGAGCGGCCCGCGUCUGAUUAGCUAGUUGGUGAGGUAAGGGCUCACCAAGGCGACGAUCAGUAGCUGGUCUGAGAGGAUGAUCAGCCACAUUGGGACUGAGACACGGCCCAAACUCCUACGGGAGGUAGCAGUGGGGAAUCUUGCGCAAUGGGCGAAAGCCUGACGCAGCCAUGCCGCGUGAAUGAUGAAGGUCUUAGGAUUGUAAAAUUCUUUCCCCGGGGACGAUAAUGACGGUACCCGGAGAAGAAGCCCCGGCUAACUUCGUGCCAGCAGCCGCCGUAA